UAAAAGGAGGAGGUGGAGGUGGUGGAGGAGCUGUUUUAACAGGUGGAGAUGGAGCACUGGAAAUACCAUGUAAAGGAAGGAUCUUGACUGAUGGUGAAGGUGCAAUACUAGUGUAAGGUAGAGGGGGAGGAGGGAGGAUGUAAUCAUUUGCUUUUGUUGUAUUUAAUGGGCUAAAAGGAGGAGGUGGUGGUGGUGGUGGUGGGGAAGAAGAUGUAGAGCACGCCUCAUGAGUUUCAAAAGUCGAAGCAUACAGAGACUUCCAAGGUGGUGGAGGUGGAGGUGGAGGCAACAAAGUUUCACUGUUUCGCCUCACAGAUGCAAACGGAGGUGGUGGAGGAGGUGGAGGUGGAGGCAACAAAGUUUCACUGUUUCGCCUCACAGAUGCAAACGGAGGUGGUGGAGGAGGAGGCGGCGGCGAUGGUAGCUGAGAUGUUUGCAAGUCACUGCUCUUUUGACCUACUGAAUAGUAUGCAGGCGGAGGUGGUGGUGGAG
rnacentral:lncRNA from 1 species